CCCUUCGAUGUUCUGGGCUGCACGCGCGCUACAAUGACAAUGUCAGCGAGUUUUAAAUUUAUAUUCGCUUGUGCGAAAGCACUGGCAAAUCUUGUGAAACGUUGUCGUACUAUGGAUUGCUGAUUGCAAUUAUUCGGCAUGAAACAGGAAUACCUAGUAGGUGUGGUUCAUCAGACUGCGCCGAAUACGUCCCUGCCGAUUGUACACACCGCCCGUCGUUUCUUCCGACUGGUACUCAUUGUGAAUUGCGAGGAGAUUCUGUCAAAUCGUUGUAAAUGCUGGGUAUUGGAGGAAGAAAAAGUCGUAACA
rnacentral:rRNA from 1 species